AUUCGAUAAUAGCAAACUUAUCGAAAGGUAAGGAGAUAAAGACAUGGGUCUAAAGGGAGUUACCUUAUGACUGCCAGUUUAGCGAA
rnacentral:ncRNA from 1 species